CGGACACACACACACACACACACACACACACACGAACACACAUGGAUACACGCAUACACACGGGCACAUGCAUACGCACACACGCAUGCACAAGGGUGCCAGGGGGAUGAGACUUCUCUCACACUCGCCGCCCCUCGCCCCUUCGGCACCGUGGGAGGACUUUUGGCUGCGCAAGGUUGUCUGACCAGGGGUCAGCAGGGCGUGGCGUCCGGAAUCCCGCAGCCCCAGGCGCCCGGGGGAGGGGACAGGGCGAAGGGCGGAGCAGUGUCUCCCAGCCCCGGGCGCCGCCCCCGCCCCGGUGGCCCACCCUCCCCGCUCACCCACGGACGCGCCGAUCCUCGCCCUCCGCGCUUCUGCUCUUUUGUAUCCAGCCCGACGGGGUCUGCAAAGGGUCCUUUGUGCAGUAAGAAUUUCCAGGCUGAGACCUGAAAUUCAGAGAAGUGCUGGGUCUGCAGCUCCUGUCCUCAACGGCGUGUCACAGUCGGGAGACCUCCAGAACGCUCACCCACCACACACAUCCACUCCCACGACACACGCAAUGCACCUUCUACAUGCAAACAAAUCCAUUGAGAGGUAAGGGAUGACUGGCCCAAGGUCACUCGGCUUGCUUUUGUUUGAUUUCUCCCUUCACUUAAUGUUUAAACUGAGUCCUUCUGAGCACAGUUCUAUGGGGGGUAGUGAAGAAGCCAGCUAAAUCUUUACUGUGUCUGACGAAAUCUUGACUUUAGACUAAAAGCAGAAAAACAAACCAGCCAACGGGAUUCUGAUCUACUCUUGCAAAAGGGAUCAUUACCUUUCCUUUUACAUAAGGUGGGGGAGCCUCUGGGGCUUGGAGGGCCAUGGAGUGAUGGGCUGUAGGAUGUAAGAAGGCGGUUGGCUCAACACGACUCAGAAGCCGGUGUUGGUUCAAACUUCAGGAGUCUGACCACGAGUGGUUUAUUUUAAGCACAUUUAGCACAGCCGAAUUUGGUGAAAACUAUUCCGGUGAUGAACUCAAUCUCGCGUACACAACAGAGCAUACAUAAGCCUCCUUUAGGAACAUAGUCAGCUAAAUACGGAUUGGACGUGACUACAUAAGUCCAUAAACAUAGGUUCUAUAGAUUGACUGAGAAAAAAGUUUUUGAUAAGAGUCUGAGGAAGGGUCUGAUGCUGAGAAAUUCUGUGGCCACACAGAUAGAAAAAAGUCACCCGGCUGGGAACCACAACCAGCCUUCUGGAUCGGUAACAGGUAUUGUCUUCUUUGAAGGAGCAACCUUGUGUGCUUAAAAUCCCAGGUUCCUCCAAGUGGUUAUCUGUGAGCACAAACACCUCCAAGCCUCCUCCGAUAAAGCAUGGACUCUGGCCCUCAGGGUAAACAUUGUUUCUGAGAAGAAAUGACUUUUUAGCCGGGAGGUCCAAGAAAAGGGAAAUGUGUCAAGUGUUGAGCAGAGUUGAGCUUCAGGGCAGCAGAACUUCUCAGUGAGUCUCUCAGGCUGCUCUCAAAGCUUCGACUGACCACUGCACUGAAGCUGUUAAAAACAUCCAUUACUAUAUAUGUCAUUAUCCCCCCAAACAGGAAAGAAUGACCAGAACUCGAUGAGAAUAGAAAAAAUAGACAAUAGCCAUUUGUAAUUGUUCUUUGAUUUCACCGAAUCACAAAAUCUUAUGGUUCCUGUCUUUGUGGGUACCUUCCGGUAACCAAAUUGUCCCAGAGCUCUGGAGAAGUAGGACAGUAGCUUAGGAAGGAAGGAGUCUUACUGUGCUGGGGCGGCCUGAGCUCACUCCCAAGUGUAGCUCAAGAUGACGUGAAACUGGUGGUGAUCAUCCUGCCUCAGCCUCCCAAGUGUGGGGGUUACAGGUGUGAGGCAUCAUGCAGGUUUGUGGAAGGAGCAUUAAGGUCGUUCACUUGCCACACUCAGGAGAGACUGUCAAGGGCAAUGGAGGAGUGUUGAGCUUAUCUCCAUGGUAAAUUCCCCUCAUUGCCUUAGCAGAAUUGGAAAGAUUAGAUUGGCAUUUGCUGCAGAACGUAGACCUCUGACCCACCAUCGGUGAUAAAAGGAAGCAAAGGCACACAAGACGAAAACCAAGCAAUGAGCAGUGUCUCUUAAUCACAAUAUCUAAGGGCAAUGUAAAUCACACAUAGGCUGUGCUGUCUUUGAACAGAAACCCUUGUGUCCUUGCCAGAGGUAGUCUGGGCCUGAGGUACAGAGGAUUUACCAAUAGGAGGAAGGAGAGGCAGACAUAAAAUCCAGAACAAUGGGAGCGUCUGGGAGGCGUGUUUCAUCUCUACUUAUAUGAAAGCAGAACUUUCAAGAUAAUUGCCUCAAUUAAUUGGCCGUGGCUGCAAGUUUUCCCAAGUGGGGAACAGAGCAGCCCUUUGGGGAGGUGAAUGAGGCCUUGGGAGAGUGGCAUCACUGAAUUUGACUAAACCACAGCUCUAGAACCAUUUCUUUUCAAAAUGUUUAUGUGUGUGAUUUUUUUAUAAACACACAUUAAAAAAAAAAAACCAAGACAGUGUCGUGUAGAGCGCACAUUAAAAUAUAGAGACAGAUCCAUCUAAGUUUAAACCCCACCACAGGCCUGUAACCCACCCCCUAGUCUCUCUCUCCCUUUCCUCCUGCCCACAGACCAGCUCCUUCCUCAUCUUCAUCCUCUUCCUCCUUUCCAUGGUAUUUACAGGGCCACAAGCUAACAGUCAACUCUAACAGCAUGGGGUAAAGGAUCUUCGAUAGGAGAUCACGUCAUGCAAAUCUCAUUCUUGUACAGAUUCUUAUUAAAGACUCCAUGGAUGCGUUCCGAUGACCUAAU